GACCCUUCGUCAUACGAAUACAACGAGGAACUGUCGCGUUUUAUGAAGCAUCGCGCAGAAAGAGGGGUGUUUCGAUAGUCAAGCACGCAGGUGUUGUUGGAUACGUUACAUACUUCUAUAACAUGCGGGAAGAUAACAUGAGUUUCAUAGAAGAAACAAAGUGAAAAUAAUUAUAGAAAAAAUGAUCAUACCUCGAUUACGUUAGUCAAUCCAAAAUUGUGGGCUAAGAGUAAAGAUACUUUGUUUGUUCCUGGUAUAACUUUCAUGAAACCAACUUCACGAUGUAAUGGUUUCUUUGAUGCAGAAUCCCAACUUUGUGCAACAUAGUUGAACAUUGGUUGGCCGA